AGAAAAGAAGAAUAAGUAGAAGAAGAGGAUAAAGAAAAAUAGAAAUAGAAAUAAGAGGAAGAAGAAGAAGAAGAAGAAGAAGAAGAAGAAGAAGAAGAAGAAGAAGAAGAGGAGGANUAGGAGAAGAGGAGGAGGAGGAGGAGGAGGAGAAGAAGAUGAGAAGAUGAGAAGAAAGAGGAAAAAUGAAAAGAAGGAAGAAGAAGAAGAAGAGAAGA
rnacentral:lncRNA from 1 species